AAUAUUAUUUCAAAUUCAUAAUUCGGCAAUUCAUAAUUUAUGGCAAGCUUGCAAAACAUAUUUUGAUUUAUGAUUAAUCAUAAUAAUUAGGUAUGAAUGAAUGACCUUGAUCAAUUGAUAUGACAUAAUUCUUCUAUCCAAAACUGAGCAUUACUGGUCAACCGAUUUGAGAAUGACAUAAGAUUUGACUGUCAGGCAGUUGUUCUACUAUGUCCAAAGUUGACAUGAGUUCAGGAGGUCAGCAGGCUAACAGAUAAGUAUACACAUAGAGUUCAUGUGUCAGAGCUGACAUGUUUUUACAUGCUUUAAAGUUACAAUCAUAGAUAAUCCAUAACUUAGCUAUUUAUUUGAUAUUGUUGUUUAAUUAUUUAGAGCUAGUUUAAGUGAAGUCUUAGUCAUACUAAUAUGUAUUAGUAUAUAGUUACUUAAUGAAGUUAUAGCUUUAUAGCUGAUAAUAUAUGUUCUAUGACAUUGCAUCAUCAAGCACACUACUCUAAGUAUAGAGUGUCACAUGUGUGCCUGUCAAUCAAAUCCCAUACGACUCUGUGCUAAGAUCUUCAUAUUGCUGAACCUAGCAGAUAUUAAUAUUUGCCAUACAAGGGUCUAAGCCUGGGCCGUAUGAGGUCAUGACGUUCACUUGUAACAUAUAUUUAAGCUUUGCUUUAAAGAAGGCUGGUCACAUUUGCACCACACACUUGCAUGACACACUGAUACACACUUAAACUAAGACACACUAAUUCACACCCUCUUUGAAAGACAACACUGACAUAUAGACUAGGAGAACAGCUGAAGCCAGAAGUCAAACGUCAUUUCCUGUUUCUUCCGGCAUCACUUUGGAAAAUCUCAGAAGACAACAUGCCUGAGGCUGCACACAUCCUUUCAUAAGCUUGCUACAAUACUAUCGAUCCAAUUCCAGAUAUUUUCAUCUACGCUAAACUGAACUUUAUACUAUUUUUCAUUGUGUUUAUGAUGCCACCUGUGUGACAAUAAACUCACACGUUAUUUUCAAAUCAACCUGACUAUGAAUGAUCUUCAUUCAGAUACGCCCUUGAAGCUAUAAGAAUAUUAGUUAUUAAUUUUACAUUCUUACAGUGGCGAGCCAAAGAAAGUACUGUCUUAUCUCUAUUUUUACGGAAAUCUCGACCCUUGAUGAGGGGGGGAGAGAUUAGCGCAGUUUUUGCGAAUAUUCAAGUCUCGAGAAAAAAGACGGUUCAGAACCUAUCAAGCAAGAGGCGUUUGUGUCGCGUCAGAUGUGGACAACAGUCCAGUAACAGACGGUUGAUGACGAGAAAUCCUUCUAAUAACGAUAUGGCAUCUAAAAUCAAACAAAUAUGGAGGAUAACAAGCUUCUAUAAAGAGCAAAGAGAAAUUUGAAGUUAAAAGAAGAGAUCCUUUUUGGAAGAAUAUUUGACAAAAGAUUUAUAUUUCAUAUUUAUGAACUAUUUUAUCUUAUUCAUCAAGGUUUUUCUAACGGAACUUGAAGAAGACAUUUUAAAGACAUUUCAUGAAGAAACAUUAAUCGGAAGGAACAUUAUCUAUCUACUAUAGAUAAACAAUUUAGGACUGAAACAUUUGUCCACAUAUACAUAUACAUUUUUUGAUUAUCCAAUUAUUAUGAUAUUAAUGUUCACAUGAAGUUAGGAUUAUUAUUUUUAUUUAUUUUUAUUUAUUCACAUAUUGAAUGUUAGCACACUCAUUCUAGUUAAUAGAACAUUUUUUGUUCAUAACUUAAGAAAGAUAUCAUUAAUAGAACUAUGGAAAGUUAUGAAAGUUUUAGAGUAUAAAGUAUAUUUCCAAAGAGCUAAAAUAUUAUUUGAGCACAUAUAUGGAAAUAUAUUAUUGCAUUAUUUACUUAUUUUAAUAAUAAUAAUUUUCAUUAUUAUUAUUAUUAUUAAUAUUAAUAAUUAUUGAUAUUAGUCAUCAUUAUGUUAUACAUUUUAAAAUCUAUACCAUUAUUUCUGGUAAGAUUUUGAUUAGAUAGAUCUAAGAAGAGUUAAAAGUAAAGAGUAAAGCAUUUAGGAAAAGGAAAAUUUCUAGUUGCUUCAGUUCUGAGGAAUAUCGUGUCCAAUCGUUUGAUACAAGGUGGAGAAAAUGAGAUACAAAUGGUUAUGUAUGUGUGUAUUAAAUGAUUUAGUAUGAUUAAUCAUAAUUCAGGGGGGAUUGUUAGAAUAUUAUUUCAAAUUCAUAAUUCGGCAAUUCAUAAUUUAUGGCAAGCUUGCAAAACAUAUUUUGAUUUAUGAUUAAUCAUAAUAAUUAGGUAUGAAUGAAUGACCUUGAUCAAUUGAUAUGACAUAAUUCUUCUAUCCAAAACUGAGCAUUACUGGUCAACCGAUUUGAGAAUGACAUAAGAUUUGACUGUCAGGCAGUUGUUCUACUAUGUCCAAAGUUGACAUGAGUUCAGGAGGUCAGCAGGCUAACAGAUAAGUAUACACAUAGAGUUCAUGUGUCAGAGCUGACAUGUUUUUACAUGCUUUAAAGUUACAAUCAUAGAUAAUCCAUAACUUAGCUAUUUAUUUGAUAUUGUUGUUUAAUUAUUUAGAGCUAGUUUAAGUGAAGUCUUAGUCAUACUAAUAUGUAUUAGUAUAUAGUUACUUAAUGAAGUUAUAGCUUUAUAGCUGAUAAUAUAUGUUCUAUGACAUUGCAUCAUCAAGCACACUACUCUAAGUAUAGAGUGUCACAUGUGUGCCUGUCAAUCAAAUCCCAUACGACUCUGUGCUAAGAUCUUCAUAUUGCUGAACCUAGCAGAUAUUAAUAUUUGCCAUACAAGGGUCUAAGCCUGGGCCGUAUGAGGUCAUGACGUUCACUUGUAACAUAUAUUUAAGCUUUGCUUUAAAGAAGGCUGGUCACAUUUGCACCACACACUUGCAUGACACACUGAUACACACUUAAACUAAGACACACUAAUUCACACCCUCUUUGAAAGACAACACUGACAUAUAGACUAGGAGAACAGCUGAAGCCAGAAGUCAAACGUCAUUUCCUGUUUCUUCCGGCAUCACUUUGGAAAAUCUCAGAAGACAACAUGCCUGAGGCUGCACACAUCCUUUCAUAAGCUUGCUACAAUACUAUCGAUCCAAUUCCAGAUAUUUUCAUCUACGCUAAACUGAACUUUAUACUAUUUUUCAUUGUGUUUAUGAUGCCACCUGUGUGACAAUAAACUCACACGUUAUUUUCAAAUCAA